rnacentral:rRNA from 1 species
UACGUAGGUGGCAAGCGAUACUCGGAAUCACUAGGCGUAAAGCGCAGGUAGGCGGUUUGGAAAGUCUCUUGUGAAAGCUCCCGGCUCAACUGGGAGAGGUCAAGGGAAACUACCAGGCUAGAGUGCGGUAGAGGUAGCUGGAAUUCCCGGUGUAGCGGUGAAAUGCGUAGAUAUCGGGAGGAAUACCUAUGGCGAAAGCAGGCUACUGGACCGUCACUGACUCUGAUCUGCGAAAGCUAGGGGAGCAAACAGG